rnacentral:rRNA from 1 species
AGUGAACGCUGGCGGUAGGCCUAACACAUGCAAGUCGAACGGCAGCACAGUAAGAGCUUGCUCUUACGGGUGGCGAGUGGCGGACGGUUGAGGAAUACAUCGGAAUCUACUUUUUCGUGGGGGAUAACGUAGGGAAACUUACGCUAAUACCGCAUACGACCUACGGGUGAAAGCAGGGGAUCUUCGGACCUUGCGCGAUUGUAUGAGCCGAUGUGGGAUUAGCUAGUUGGCGGGGUAAAGGCCCACCAAGGCGACGAUCCGUAGCUGGUCUGAGAGGAUGAUCAGCCACACUGGAACUGAGACACGGUCCAGACUCCUACGGGAGGCAGCAGUGGGGAAUAUUGGACAAUGGGCGCAAGCCUGAUCCAGCCAUACCGCGUGGGUGAAGAAGGCCUUCGGGUUGUAAAGCCCUUUUGUUGGGAAAGAAAAGCAGCAGGUUAAUACCCCGCUGUUCUGACGGUACCCAAAGAAUAAGCACCGGCUAACUUCGUG